rnacentral:rRNA from 1 species
GACGAACGCUGGCGGCGUGCUUAACACAUGCAAGUCGAACGAUGAUGCCCAGCUUGCUGGGUGGAUUAGUGGCGAACGGGUGAGUAACACGUGAGUAACCUGCCCCUGACUCUGGGAUAAGCGUUGGAAACGACGUCUAAUACUGGAUAUGACUGCUGGCCGCAUGGUCUGGUGGGGGAAAGAUUUUUUGGUUGGGGAUGGACUCGCGGCCUAUCAGCUUGUUGGUGCGGUAAUGGCUCACAAAGGCGACGACGGGUAGCCGGCCUGAGAGGGUGACCGGCCACACUGGGACUGAGACACGGCCCAGACUCCUACGGGAGGCAGCAGUGGGGAAUAUUGCACAAUGGGCGAAAGCCUGAUGCAGCAACGCCGCGUGAGGGAUGACGGCCUUCGGGUUGUAAACCUCUUUUAGUAGGGAAGAAGCGAAAGUGACGGUACCUGCAGAAAAAGCACCGGCUAACUACGUGCCAGCAGCCGCGGUAA